UACGUAGGGGGCAAGCGUUGUCCGGAAUCAUUGGGCGUAAAGAGCGUGUAGGCGGUCCGUUAAGUCGGCUGUGAAAGUCCAAGGCUCAACCUUGGGAUGCCGGUCGAUACUGCCGGACUAGAGUUCGGAAGAGGCGAGUGGAAUUCCCGGUGUAGCGGUGAAAUGCGCAGAGAUGUGGAGGAACACCAGUGGCGAAGGCGACUCUUUGGCCUGUAACUGACGCUGAGGCGCGAAAGCGUGGGGAGCAAACAGG
rnacentral:rRNA from 1 species